rnacentral:rRNA from 1 species
AUUGAACGCUGGCGGCAUGCUUUACACAUGCAAGUCGAACGGUAACAGGGUGCUUGCACCGCUGACGAGUGGCGAACGGGUGAGUAAUGCGUCGGAACGUGCCGAGUAGUGGGGGAUAACGCCGCGAAAGUUGUGCUAAUACCGCAUACGUACUGAGGUAGAAAGUGGGGGACCUUCGGGCCUCACGCUAUUCGAGCGGCCGACGUCUGAUUAGCUAGUAGGUGAGGUAAAGGCUCACCUAGGCGACGAUCAGUAGCGGGUCUGAGCGGAUGAUCCGCCACACUGGGACUGAGACACGGCCCAGACUCCUACGGGAGGCAGCAGUGGGGAAUUUUGGACAAUGGGCGAAAGCCUGAUCCAGCCAUGCCGCGUGUCUGAAGAAGGCCUUCGGGUUGUAAAGGACUUUUGUCGGGGAGGAAAUCCCCAGCGCUAAUACCGCUGGGGGAUGACAGUACCUGAAGAAUAAGCACCGGCUAACUACGUGCCAGCCGCCGCGGUAACAC